AAACUAACAAGGAUUCCCCUAGUAACGGCGAGUGAAGCGGGAAGAGCUCAAAUUUGAAAUCUAGUAGCCUUCGGCUGCUCGAGUUGUAAUCUAGAGAAGUGUUUUCCGUGCCGGCCCAUGUACAAGUCCCUUGGAACAGGGCGUCAUAGAGGGUGAGAAUCCCGUCCUUGACAUGGACCCCCGGUGCUCUGUGAUACACUUUCAACGAGUCGAGUUGUUUGGGAAUGCAGCUCAAAAUGGGUGGUGAAUUCCAUCUAAAGCUAAAUAUUGGCGAGAGACCGAUAGCGAACAAGUACCGUGAGGGAAAGAUGAAAAGCACUUUGGAAAGAGAGUUAAACAGUACGUGAAAUUGUUGAAAGGGAAACGAUUGAAGUCAGUCAUGCUCUUUGGUAUUUAUAUCAUUGAGUGGGGUCAACAUCAGUUUUGAUCGAUGGAUAAAGGCACUAGGAAGGUAGCACUCUCGGGUGAACUUAUAGCCUGGCGUCAUAUACAUUGAUUGGGACUGAGGAACGCAGCAUGCCUUUAUGGCCGGGAUUCGUCCACGUACAUGCUUAGGAUGUUGACAUAAUGGCUUUAAACGACCCGUCUUG
rnacentral:rRNA from 1 species